AUACGUAGGGUGCGAGCGUUGUCCGGAAUUACUGGGCGUAAAGAGCUCGUAGGUGGUUUGUCGCGUCGUCUGUGAAAUUCCGGGGCUUAACUCCGGGCGUGCAGGCGAUACGGGCAUAACUUGAGUACUGUAGGGGAGACUGGAAUUCCUGGUGUAGCGGUGAAAUGCGCAGAUAUCAGGAGGAACACCGGUGGCGAAGGCGGGUCUCUGGGCAGUAACUGACGCUGAGGAGCGAAAGCAUGGGUAGCGAACAGGAUUAGAUACCCUGGUAGUCCAUGCCGUAAACGGUGGGCGCUAGGUGUAGGGGUCUUCCACGACUUCUGUGCCGUAGCUAACGCAUUAAGCGCCCCGCCUGGGGAGUACGGCCGCAAGGCUUAAACUCAAAUGAAUUGACGGGG
rnacentral:rRNA from 1 species